CACGUAGGCACCAAGCGUUGUCCGGAUUUAUUGGGCGUAAAGAGCUCGUAGGCGGUUCGGUAAGUCGGGUGUGAAAACUCAGGGCUCAACCCUGAGCCGCCACUCGAUACUGCUGUGACUUGAGUUCGGUAGGGGAGCGGGGAACUCCUGGUGUAGCGGUGAAAUGCGCAGAUAUCAGGAAGAACACCAGUGGCGAAGGCGCCGCUCUGGGCCGAGACUGACGCUGAGGAGCGAAAGCGUGGGUAGCAAACAGG
rnacentral:rRNA from 1 species